rnacentral:rRNA from 1 species
GAUGAACGCUAGCGGCAGGCUUAACACAUGCAAGUCGAGGGGUAGAAGUUGCUUGCAACUUUGAGACCGGCGCACGGGUGCGUAACGCGUAUGCAAUCUACCUUAUACAGAGGGAUAGCCCAGAGAAAUUUGGAUUAAUACCUCAUAGUAUAAUUGAAUGGCAUCAUUUAAUUAUUAAAGUUCCAACGGUAUAAGAUGAGCAUGCGUCCUAUUAGCUAGAUGGUAAGGUAACGGCUUACCAUGGCAACGAUAGGUAGGGGUCCUGAGAGGGAGAUCCCCCACACUGGUACUGAGACACGGACCAGACUCCUACGGGAGGCAGCAGUGAGGAAUAUUGGACAAUGGGCGCAAGCCUGAUCCAGCCAUGCCGCGUGCAGGAAGAAGCAUCUAUGGUGUGUAAACUGCUUUUGUACGGGAAGAAACACCCCUUCGUGAAGGGACUUGACGGUACCGUAAGAAUAAGGAUCGGCUAACUCCGUGCCAGCAGCCGCGGUAAUAC